UCUUUUCAGGUAAUAAGAAAUGAAUGACAAUGGAAAAAAAUGAAAGUUCUGAAGACUACUUUAUUCUACUAGGUUUUUCUCAUUGGCCUGAAUUGGAAGUGGUUCUCUUUGUGGUUAUCUUGAUAUUCUAUUUGAUGACACUGAUUGGUAACCUGUCUAUCAUUAUUUUGUCAUACCUAGACUCCCAUCUCCACACUCCCAUGUACUUCUUCCUGUCAAAUCUCUCUUUUCUGGAUCUUUGCUAUACCACCAGCUCCAUUCCUCAGUUGUUGGUCAACCUUUGGGGGCCUGAGAAGACCAUCUCUUAUGUUGGUUGCAUGAUUCAACUCUACUUUGUCCUUGCACUGGGAACCACAGAAUGUGUCCUGUUGGUGGUGAUGUCCUAUGACCGUUAUGCAGCAGUGUGCAAACCCUUGCAUUACUCUGUCCUCAUGCAUCCUCGUUUUUGCCAGAUGUUGGCUGUGGGUUCUUGGGUAAGUGGCUUACUUGCCUCAGCUGUUCAUUCCUCUUUUACCUUCUGGGUACCUUUGUGUGGACAUCGCCAAGUGGAUCACUUUUUCUGUGAAGUUCCAGCACUGUUGCGAUUGUCAUGUGUUGACAUCCAUGCUAAUGAACUGACCCUCAUGGUCAUGAGUGCUGUUUUUGUGAUCAUACCACUUAUUCUCAUUCUCAGCUCCUAUGGGGCCAUUGCCCGGGCUGUGCUGAGAAUGCAGUCAACAACUGGGCUUCAGAAAGUUUUUGGGACAUGUGGAGCCCAUCUUAUGGUUGUAGCCCUCUUUUUCAUCCCAGUUAUGUGCAUAUAUCUCCAGCCACCAUCUGGGAAAUCUCAAGAUCAAGGCAAGUUCAUUGCCCUCUUCUAUACUGUUGUCACCCCUAGCCUUAAUCCUCUGAUCUACACUCUCAGGAACAAAGAUGUAAGAGGGGCAAUAAAGAGACUAAUGGGGUGGGAGUAA